rnacentral:lncRNA from 1 species
CUGCGCCCUGCUCCUGCAGCUCGACCCCGCGCUGGCGGCCGCCCGCGACGCUCGGGGACGGCGGCCCUGCGACACGGCGGACCCCGCGCUCCGGGACCUGCUGGAUGGCUGAGGGGGGAGCGGUGAGGCCGGUGUGGAAUUUGGGGUGGGGGGCGACCCGCAGGGCUCUGUCCCUGCUGGAAAAAAAGAACAAAACCAGGUCCUGGCACCAAAACCCGGCUCUGCCUCUCUGUCCCCUGCGCAUGGUGCGGACGUGGUGGUGGCGGCGCACGGAGAGCGUCGGAGGGGACACGGCCCCGUCCCAAUCCACCCCCCCGGGGACCUGCAGGGCGCUAUGGAACGGGCAGGGGGGGGCACCUCCUUUUGUCCUCCUUUGGGACAGGCGAGUACCCUUGUCGCUGCCCCUCCGGCGACCUUUUAUCGCCUCCAAAACCAAAACACUGGGACAAAAAAAAACAAAACCGCUUCCGUGUCCCCGUCCCAGCCCAGCUGGCUUUGGGACGGAUCCGGCUGCGGGUGCCCACCCGCGUCAGGGUGCUCCGAGGAGCUGCAGGUCCUGCGGUUGCAGCUCGUGGUGGAUGGAGAGCCAGGAUUCGCCAAAAGGCAGCUUCGCACCCCAAAAAAAAGCUAGCAUCUCCCCGCAGAAGAACCUAGGACCUGAUAGUCGCGACACGAUUAACAAAAAUAAUUAACCUUCUCCCAAUAACUUACAGCGGUCACCCAGGGGACUUGUGCUUUUUGGGGGGGGUGGGGAGGGAGCCCCGGCAGCGACGGGGGGGUCCCGGCUGGCGAUUUCGGAGAAACUCCUUGGGAGGAGGCGGAGGGGAGCCCCCCGCCCGUACUUUGGUCACUAGCUGUGUGCCGGAUCCUGCCCCCCCGAGCCCCCCGCCCCGGGGCCGCGGCACUCCCUGAGUCACCCCCCGCCCCGUUCUGCCUCCGUUUUAUUGAUGUUUUAUUUUUUUUGGGGGGGUCUCCCGGCUGUCCUCAGCGCCCUCGAAGGAGGAGGCCCGAAAACACCCCCGGGGAGGCCAUGGGGGGGGCCCGGCCCGCGGGACCUGAAGCUCCCUGAGCUGCAUGCGAACGAACGUCCGCCCGGCCGCGGGGCCUCCGGCCUCCACCGCGCUGAAACCACGGAAUCAGUCUCCAAAAAGCAGCAGCAGCAAAACCGGGCUCCCUUUCGG